GGCAUUUCUGAAGAGAAAACUCGUGUUUUUUUGUGUUAAUUGGGGGAUUUGCAAAGAGAAAAUGCAUGAUUUUCGCUUAAAUGUUGGAUUCUCUGAGAGAAAACGCGUGAUUUUCGCUUAAAUGGGGGAUUUCCGAAGAGAAAACGCAUGAUUUUCUGGUUAAAUGUGGGAUUUGAGAAAACGCGUGAUUUUCGCUUAAAUGGGGGAUUUCUGAAAAGAAAACGCGUGAUUUUCGGGUUAAAUGGAAGAUUCCUGAAGAGAAAACGCGUGAUUUUUGCUUUAAUGGCGGAUUUGUGAAGAGAAAACGUGUGUUUUUCG
ensembl:lncRNA